UACGUAGGGGGGCAAGCGUUGUCCGGAAUUAUUGGGCGUAAAGCGCGCGCAGGCGGCUAUUUAAGUCUGGUGUUUAAACCAUGGGCUCAACCUGUGGUCGCACUGGAAACUGGGUGGCUUGAGUACAGAAGAGGAAAGUGGAAUUCCACGUGUAGCGGUGAAAUGCGUAGAGAUGUGGAGGAACACCAGUGGCGAAGGCGACUUUCUGGGCUGUAACUGACGCUGAGGCGCGAAAGCGUGGGGAGCAAACAGG
rnacentral:rRNA from 1 species